rnacentral:sRNA from 1 species
UAUCGUUAUCGAUAUUUAAAAUAACGAAAAUGGAGCGGGAAUCCCAAAUAUAAACGGCCGAAAAUAUAUUUUCCUAACCCAUAUUUUUAGGGCGGAUAAAGGGGAUAAAAAUUUUGUCCCAAACCAAUGCGCCGAAACUAGUUAUAUCCCUAAUUUUAUUAAUCGUUGGUGUUAUAAUGGCUAUACCCCGGUUAAUAUAGGGGAUAAGGCGAAAUAGGCGGUGCGUUAUAAAUUUUCGGUAACGGAGGUAUUAUAUCUCGUUUCCGAUUACCCGUUAAAAAAAUAUACCGGCCGGAAGGUAUAAUACCAGCCGUUUAAUUUAUUUGGUAUUAUCGCUUAUAAAAAAAUCGGUUUUUCGACCGUUCCUGGGUUGGCGUAACCGGAUAAAAUCCUCCAACCUAAAUCGAAAUUAGUAAAUGGAAAUAUAUUAUAAUAAUUGUUAUAAAAAUAUAUAUUUAUUGGGAAUUAUUACCCAAAUUAAAAUUAUUAUUAAUUAUAUCGCCAUUGGAAUUACCCGUUUAAAUAAUAAUAUUAGUUACUUCGUUUAUAUACCACGGGUUAAAUAUUUUUUCCGCGUUAUAAAUUUCGUCCAAUUGCUCGGUUUCGCGGAUUAAAAAGGUCGAAUAGGACGUAAUAAUAACGGUGCCCGCGGAUUUGGGAUCGGAUUUGUUAGCGGCGAAUUUCGUUAAUAUUGCGUAAAAUUGCGAUUGGGUUAAAAUAAUAGCCGUUCGCGGUGCAUUUGCAACGUAUAUUUUAGCCGAACCGUAAUAAUAUUUAACGUCGAAAACGGGGAAAUUGGUAACGGUUUUUUUAAACGUUUGCGAGACGAGAUUGGUAGGGAUAAAGAUUAAAAUAGGGAAAUAACCACCGGAAUCCUAAAUGGUCUGGUCGUAUUAAUAACGGAGGUAUUAUAUAUAAAUUACCGUUAAAUAAAUAAUAAUUUUACCGGUACCCAUUUUAUUAACAAACAACCAAUUUUUUAAAAUUAACUGCUCGAAUUUGAGAAAAAUAUGGGUAUUUGUAACCAAAAAAAAAUUAAUUAACGAAUUUGGAAAUUGUAAUAAUAAUUACAAAAUUUAGGAAUAUAGGACGAAAAUAAAAACCAGCGAAAAUUAUAACAAUCGUUAUAAUUUGCAGGGAUAAUGCAAAUAAUAUUUACCAGCGAAUUAAUGGGGAAAUUAAUAACGAUCGGAAAAAAUAUCGGAAAUAUCCCAGUUCGACCAAAAAUAUUUGCCUUUAAUUUUUAGGUAAUCGAGGCCUAUUCCACCGUCGAAUUCCAAACCGUUAACGGGAAAACGGUCGUUAUAAAAUUGCAAUUAAUAUAUGGCGGUUUAAAUAACGUCCGAAUUAAAAAUACAAUUAAACCAAAGAUAAUUUUUGGUUAGGAUGGAAAAUUAUGCGUGGCAAACCAAUAAAACCUCGAAAAUCCGUUCCCUGGUUUUUUUAAAAAUUUCCUCGUCGCGACGGUUAUUUUCGGCCAAACGAUCCGCGAUAAUCGAUUGGGUUUAUAUAAAAUUAAAAAAAUCGGUUUGCUGGUUAUCCCCGAAAAACUUCGGAUAAAAUUUAAUAAUAUUAGUUUUGGGUUUGGUAAUAAUAGGACGAAGGAAACGUCCCUUAUCGUACAAAUUAUUAACGAUAUUUUCCAAUAUUA